GCUCAGGGUCUGGAGGGACAGGAGAUUCUGUGUCUAUAUAAUCUUCAGGACUAAAAUCAAAAAGAAGCAAUGAAUGAAUAAAAGACAAGCUCUUGCUAUGCUGUCCUGUCUGGACUCAAACUCCUAGGCUCGAGCAAUCUUCCCGCUUCAGCCUCCCAAGUAUCUGGGAUUACAAAUGCUCUUUCUAGGAGCAGAAUGGCUCCAUUCCAGUCUUCAAGCAGUAAGCCUCGUUCUGUUCCUACAUCUUGCAUGGAAUACUGUCAGCUCCCUUAACUCCACAGUGCUGCAUAUCAGACACUAUAGUCUGCUCCUGGCCUUGGAGCCCAAAAGGUUGGUAACUUUGGCCACAUUCCCAAUUUAGUGCUUCUCCUCAUUUCUGGUUUAUGGAGAUGCUUAUACUACUUUCAA